AUUGAACGCUGGCGGCAUGCCUUACACAUGCAAGUCGAACGGUAACAGGUUAAGCUGACGAGUGGCGAACGGGUGAGUAAUGUAUCGGAACGUGCCCAGUCGUGGGGGAUAACUGCUCGAAAGAGCAGCUAAUACCGCAUACGACCUGAGGGUGAAAGCGGGGGAUCGCAAGACCUCGCGCGAUUGGAGCGGCCGAUAUCAGAUUAGGUAGUUGGUGAGGUAAAGGCUCACCAAGCCGACGAUCUGUAGCUGGUCUGAGAGGACGACCAGCCACACUGGGACUGAGACACAGCCCAGACUCCUACGGGAGGCAGCAGUGGGGAAUUUUGGACAAUGGGCGCAAGCCUGAUCCAGCCAUGCCGCGUGCGGGAAGAAGGCCUUCGGGUUGUAAACCGCUUUUGUCAGGGAAGAAAAGGUUCUGGCUAAUACCUGGGACUCAUGACGGUACCUGAAGAAUAAGCACCGGCUAACUACGUG
rnacentral:rRNA from 1 species